AUGGGAGCGGGUAUUAAGCGGAAACAACCCAGAUCCGAAACACAUAUCAAGGGAAACUAAAAACAUAAAUAUUAACUGACCUCUUGAAGCGCAGAAUCGCUCACCGGUCUUUGUUCCUAAGAUCUUGGAGUCACCGACGAUCUUCUGCAGUAACCCUAGCUAUCUCUCUAGAAUGUUUUUCUGAGUGGGCAGAAAAGAAUAACGCUAGCGUCUUUUCAACUUAGGGUUUUUCUUAUUUAUAUUCUUCAAAACGUAUUUUCCAUAGGAAAAUAACAUUUAAUAUAAAUAAAUAAAUAAUAAAUUAU
rnacentral:lncRNA from 1 species